CUUUAUUAUCUUUUUCUCUCUUUUUUUUUGAGUUUAUUAUCCUUUCUUUUUAAAAGGUUUUAAUGGACACCUUCAUUAAUUUUUAACUUUUAUCCUUUUGUAGUUUAAGCACUUAAAUGUAAAAAAUACCAGUUUUUACUGUAUCCUGAUGAAAACUGACAUGUACAAUUUUCACAAUUCAUGUAAUAGACAUUUUUAAAAAUACCUAAUAUAAUUUCAUCUUUGAUCCAAGAGAGGCCACCACACCUGAACACAGCCCCCUUGAAAAGUUGAUUCUCCCCUAACAUGCAUGGUAGCUGGAAUAGGAAUAAAAUGAGAUGUCUAUAUAUCUAUGUCUAAAUGCUUUAAAAUUCUACAUCAAUCUUACAAGCCGGUACAUACAAUAUGUACCCUACUUUGCAAAAUAUAUCUUCAUACAACAAAGUAGAGAAAUAUGUAUAAAACCAUGGCUUUUAUAUUAGUGAAUGUUGGCAAGAUAGUCAAAACAACUGAAGUUAAUUAUUGUACGUGUCUGAGUAUUUUUUUGAUAGGUUAGUGAGGUUUGGCUGAGAAAUAAAAUAGGGACUAUAUAAUCAUAAGUUAUUAUAUACUUACAUCAUGAAAUAUUUUUUCUUGCCUUCAUUUCAGAAAAGUCACUUAUGUUACAUUCAAGAUGUUCACAUAAUUUGCUUUCCAUCCACACUGAUGAUCUAAAAGAUUAAAAAAUAAAUUGCAAUUGCAUUCAAAAUACACAGGUAGAUAUUUGCCCAUCAAAAUGUAUGCUUAAUUCAGUUUCUUAUUUUAAGAAACUAAAACUUUCUAAUGUAAUUUAAGAUGUUUAAGUUAUUGUUAUAUAUUUGUAUAAUAUAAAAUCAUUUGCAAUUCUAGUGCUCAGUGUCUCUCUACUCUCACAUAUGAUGUAUUAACUAUACAGAUCUGGGAAUGUAAAAGCAGUAUGAAUUGUUUUAACUGAAAAAUUUCCUCUGUAGCUAUGUGCAUUGGUUGCAAAUAUUGUGCUAAUUCGUGAGUUCCCACAGAGAUAAAUUCGUCACAAAAGCAAAAAAAUGGAUUCUUAAGAUGGCUGAUUAGGAGUUCCUAUUGUGGCUCAGCAGUUAACGAACCUGACUAGGAUCCAUGAGGAUAUGGGUUCAAUCCCUGGCCUUGCUCAGUGGGUUAAGGAUCCGGCAUUGCCCUGAGCUGUCGUGUAGGUCACAGAUGCUGCUCAGAUCUUGCAUUGCUGUGGCUGUGGCAUAGGCUGGCAGCUGUAGCUCUGAUUUGACCCCUAGCCUGGGAACUUCCCUGUGCUGCAUGUGCAGCCCUAAAAAGCAAAAAACAACAGCAAAAAGAUGGCUGACUAAUGCUUGAUUGUAUGACAACCUAUUGCCUUCACUCCAAAGGAAGGGAUUUAACACAUAGACUGUCUUUUAUCUAGCGGUUUCCAAUCCUCAAAUCCUCCCUACCCUCUAAAGCAGUUUCCACCAUCAACAGCCUGAACCUCACCACAUCUGGACUUUAUCACUCAUUGUUUAGAUGCUACCCAGAGCAGGUGUUUAUUUCCCUGGGGCCUAAUGGAGUCAGCCAUGAGAAUGGCUGUAUAGGAUACGUCAUGUUAUGCUGGUGCUGAGCACUUAUCUUUAAUGUAGGCAUGUACGUGUAUAUCAAAUACCCAGAGGCUUCUCUAAAGCAAGGGCCCAAGGUGAGGUCCCCUCUUGCCCAGGUCUAAGGGUGGUGCCAGGUCAGCUUUCCCAUCCUUGCUGGCCCAAGCCUGGACAGUCAUAUACAAAAGCACAGUUGCUGUGAAGUGACCACCCUCCCCCUUGCUGCUAGCCACUCUGGCUUUAUCCAGCCCCACCUCACAUUUUUGCUGCCUUUUCUGUUUUCUCAUUGGCAGGGAUCUUCAGAGACUUCCUCUUCUUAUAAAAUUAGUAAUAGUUCUAUGAGUGUGUCCUUUCUAGGGUUUAAUUCCAGAAUUAAAUCUACACUGUUUUGCCUUUGAGCACCUAGUCAGCCAUAACUUCAGAAGCAGAAGCCCACCCAACCCAAAAUAUUGAAAAUUUCUGUGCCACCACAUCCUCAUUUAGAUUGCAAGCUCUCAGAGGCCAGGGUUUGGAUGUUAUUUAUGUUUAAACCCACCACGGUGCCUGGCCCAUCAUACACACUUAAUAGAAAUACAGUGAAUGAAAACUACCAAAGAAGCCACAAAAGGAAGGACAGAUUUGAUUUCUUAAGAGGAGAAAGAAAAUUCCUAGUGCCUUAGGAAAAUAUCUGCAGCAAAUAUUUUAGAGCGAUAUCAUCCUUAGUACAUAGAAUUCACACAAAUAGAUGCAAAAGGCCUAAAACGAUAUUGGUAAAUGAGUAAAGUACCUAAAAGAUAAUCAUCAAAGGAGGAAAUACAACUUGAAAUAAACUCCUAAACUGGCACAAUAGUUUGGAACCAGUUUGGCAGCCUCAUAACAGUCCAUUCAUUUGACCUAGUCAUUCCACUACUAAAGACCUCUUAGGAGAAUUUUAAGUUUUGGAGGAGAAAGUUUUGUUUAUCUAACUCAAGCAAGGUAAGGUAUGUCACAGGAGGUUCUUUGGCAUCCUUGGCAGGGGCUAGAGUAAGAAGAGAAUUGGGACCCAGAAUCUGGGCAUUCAGUCAACAAGGAGGCUCCCAGAGAAUUAGAGAACACUAGAUAUUUGCCCACUAUUGAGUUUCAUGCUGUCUCCUAGGUGUGAGGGACCCCACACUCCUGAAGCAGCCAUCAACACCUGGCCCUGAUUGAAUAAGAUUAUCAAAUGACCCCACAGGUUGGAAUGCAGUUUUCAUAGGCAAAUGGAGAGUUUUGCCCACUAAUACUGAACUGUGGCAUUUCAACUCUGAAACAGUUACUCCCGUAGAGUGUUGAUCCCACGUGGCCUUGAGCCCCUUGAAUAUGUAAGGCUUCAAUUCCUGUGGAAUGGCCAUCACAGCUUAUUAUCUCAAGGGUCAGAACAUCUCAGUUUACAGAGCCAGCUGCCUAGGCCUCUUUAUGAAACAGAUAGCUCCUCCUUGGUGAUAAUUAAUACAGAUGAUUUUCCUUGGAACCGUGGUGAUAGAGAAUCCAGAAACUGACAGCAGGUCCCUAGCUGUCCAUCAAGAAGCACUGGUGCACCAUCCUGCCACCUGUCAUUGGAAGAGCUUUUGACCACCGCCAGCCCACUUUGUCCUUUCUCUGCAGAAUGCACUCAGCUGGCUUAGCCUGUAAUACACUAACGUGAUUUCAACUAAACAACACCGCUAAAUACCAGAGGAGCAAGGCACUUGGAGCAGAAGAGAAAGGAAAUGAAAUAACUCUCAUUACCUCCCUAAACUUCAACAACUGUGGAAGAGCCCUCCGCCCAAGAAGCACAGAUCCCCAAUUUCAGACGGUGUAAUGGCAGCCAGCUUUGCAGAAACACUUGUCUACUGAUGAAAUCUCGUUCCUUUCUCAUUGAGCAGGCGGAGAUGAUCCUCUGGCCUUAGUUCCAGCCCAAGGUUUGGGCUCCUGACCUUAUAGUCCUUUUGAUCCUAAAACAGUGGUUUGUAGAAUCUUACUGAAAAUGAAUAGUAACUGUGCACUCCUGUUCUAGGGAAACGUGCACCUGCUACUUUGUACUCAGUGUCAAUGGAGCACAAGGACCUCCCCGCCCAAGAGACCCAUCCAUGGGGCCCUGUGCACUAUCAGCCUGUUCUGUCUGCACUCACAACCCCUUAUUCCUAUUCCUGAGUGGAGCAAGGGGCUCUAUUCUGCUGAUCUAAGAGGAAGCCUUGCAACCCUUCCCAGCCUAGCGCUCCAGGAUGCCACUUAAACUCAAUUUAUGGAGGUCUAUAGAUAAAACAUCCUAGUCACUCUGUCUGUCAGUGUUCACGGUAAAGAAUCCCUGUUCUGGAGGAACCCUUCUUGGUCUCACUUUCCUCUCAGUGGAUUUAUAUAUAGUCCUCGAAUGAUGUUGAAAAGCAGUUUGGUGCUAAGGAAAAGCAAAACCACUUAUGAUAAGAAAUUAAGAGUGAAGUUACAUAAAGCUUUUUUUUUUAAAAAAAUGGUAUUCUAGCUGCAUUUUUCAACUAAGAGUCAUAAAAUCAUUUCCCAAGCCAGAAGUAUCAUUAUCCUCAUUUCACAGGUGGAAAACCGGGAAUUACAGAGAGGUUAAUGUCUGUGUCUAAAAGUACACAGCACGCCCUCAUCAGAAGGAGCUGAAAAUACAGGUUUAGUCAAGGGCUCAUGCUGUUCUGUGAUAACCCAAACUUUAUGAACAAGUUUGGCUUGGCCCUAAUUGGCAUUCAAUUUUAAAAAAUGUCUUUCAUUAAAAAAUAUAAUUUGAAGAACUGGGUAAUUGACUCACAUUUGAUUAAGGCAGAGUCUAUUGGAUUAACAUGAUUAAUAGAUAAAAUUAUAAUCAAACAGAAAGCAGUACAAAAGGUGACUGAGUCAUGGAUCACAUUAAGAUACUACAUUUUUAAAAGAUGAAUAUGCUGGGUGUUUUUAACAUUAGGAAUACUCAUUUCACAGUGGAUCUCACACUGUUCAGCCAUCGCGCGUAGAAUAAUUAGGAUGACGUUUGUGUUCAGGAUUAAAAGAAGAAGUACUUGGAAGCUGUUUUGAUUUCACAGUGUGGAAAACCCCCAACUCUCCUCAUUCUAAUUCUCUCAAAUCACUUGGUCCAGUGAUAAUUUUUCAAACUGAUAGUAAAGGAGGCUACGCCAGUGGUUAUCUCUGCCCAGAACUAAAUAUAGCUGAUGCAACAACAAAUUCCAAGGCCCCUUUCAGGAACUGUAAUGUGCAUCAGCCUAUACCAGUAUAACAUGUUCCACAGUUUUUUCUAUAAAUGCAAAAUUGGAUCCUCAGUGGAAACUUUGUUAAUUGAUGAAACAACUUCAGCAUCAGCCAGGCCAGGAAGUAAAAUGAAAAAAUGAGAUAUUUGGGUUUUUUUUCUUUAUUACUCAUUCUUAAAUCCUGUUUGCCUAAGAAAUGGUAACUAGUGAUAGCCUCCUUCCCAAAAUUUCCAUGCCUGCAUGAACUGGGAUGUGGAAAGGAACCAGGGGAGGCUUUAGCCAUUUCUAACCUUCACCAAUAUCCCAGAACUCACAUAACCACCUCAUAUAACAUAAGAAUAAAGAAAAAAAACUGGCUUCCUAAGCGAGCACAGCUCCACUGUAGUCUCCUUGCCAUCAGUCCAUCACAACUAGCCUCAGGAUUUUCCUAUACUGAAAAUCAGGAACCACCAAAGUGGUCCCUUUCUUAUCAUGUCAUUACUCCUGGAAGCAGAGUUGUUGGGCACAUGUCCAAGAACCUGGGACUGAAAAAUGGCAUUAGAACAUGACAACCUGUUUAAGGAUUGAUGAUAUUUCCUCUUGGAAAAGCUUUGGGGAACCAAGAAUUUCAUAGACAACUUGUUAGUAUAUAUUUUGGAAGAUAGGGCAGUAUCUGUAAGAUAUUAAUACAGUAUGCAUCCUCUUUGACCAAGUCAUUCCAUGUAUACCUAGGCACAACGAUAUGGACUCAAGGCUGGCCUGGCCACCGCACUCCAUGUCUGAUAUCCUAUCUUUGAGGAUGUUUGAGGGAACUAAGACUCCUGAAUCCCACCGCCCACAUUCAUGGUGUAGGACCCUUUAUCUAUGGCUACAAAUGGAGAA
rnacentral:lncRNA from 1 species